rnacentral:SRP_RNA from 1 species
CCGUGCUAAGCGGGGAGCUAGCGGUGCCCUGUACCCACAACCCGCUCCAGUGGGGCUGAAUCCCCGGCCGAGGCUGUCAGCUUUCUGGCCAGGCUUGCUUUUCCGGGCGAUGAAGGUUUGGGCCCUGCGCAAAGAGCCAGCUGUUAACCCCGCCAGGACCGGAAGGUAGCAACGGUAGCAGCCGGGUUCUUGUGUGGCAGUCAGCCUGACCGGAGCUUCAGGGAAGCGAGGUCCGCAGGGGGCGAGCAGUCGAAGCCGGGUGCACGG